AGAAACAAGGAGAGCCGGGCGGCUGCUGCAUCUGGAGCAGAAAACUAAAACUUCUUCGUCAUGAAACUGAAACACUCAUCCAGCCACAAGAUGUCACCAUUGCUCUGAGUUGUUAAAGAUGCUGUCGGAGCCAGUGAGUGUUAUUCUGACCGAGUUUGUUUGCGUCGGCUCGACUGGAACCGUCUCCACUUUAGAGACAAGUUGGUGUUUGGGGAAAAGAGGCGUCUCGCAGACAGUGGAGGCAUCUCCCUCUGAGCGCAGACACACAAUCAGGAUAUCUGCAGAGAGGCAACCCUCACGCUGAGCCCCAGAUAACCUGCUGCUCAUCAUCUCCUCAGUAGGCAGCAGCACUGGAUGUGGCACUUCGGGAAAUGUAAUCAAAAAACUGGAGAAAGUUGUCGCAACUGCCGACACGGCGGCUGUUGAACUUUUUAAAACGUCGCAUAUUGGAUUAU